AGCUUUGUGCAGUGGCAGUUACCGUAGCCAAUGAGGUUUAUCCGAGGUGUGAUUAUUGCUAGCUGAAGACUUUUCCCAGCCUCUGUCAUUAUACCAAAAUAGUUAAGAUGAUAAACACGGAAGCUUGCUUU
ensembl:snRNA U4 U4 spliceosomal RNA